GGAGCGGCGUGCUAAUACUGCAGUCGAGCGGACCGAACGGAAGCUUGCUUCUGUUCGGUUAGCGGCGGACGGGUGAGUAACACGUGGGUAACCUGCCCGUAAGACCGGGAUAACUCCGGGAAACCGGGGCUAAUACCGGAUAACACCGAAGACCGCAUGGUCUUUGGUUGAAAGGUGGCUUUUGCUACCACUUACGGAUGGGCCCGCGGCGCAUUAGCUAGUUGGUGAGGUAACGGCUCACCAAGGCGACGAUGCGUAGCCGGCCUGAGAGGGUGACCGGCCACACUGGGACUGAGACACGGCCCAGACUCCUACGGGAGGCAGCAGUAGGGAAUCUUCCGCAAUGGACGAAAGUCUGACGGAGCGACGCCGCGUGAGCGAAGAAGGUCUUCGGAUCGUAAAGCUCUGUUGUUAGGGAAGAAGAAGUACCGUUCGAAUAGGGCGGUACGGUGACGGUACCUAACGAGAAAGCCCCGGCUAACUACGUGCCAGCAGCCGCGGUAAUACGUAGGGGGCGAGCGUUGUCCGGAAUUAUUGGGCGUAAAGCGCGCGCAGGCGGUCCCUUAAGUCUGAUGUGAAAGCCCACGGCUCAACCGUGGAGGGUCAUUGGAAACUGGGGGACUUGAGUGCAGAAGAGGAGAGCGGAAUUCCACGUGUAGCGGUGAAAUGCGUAGAGAUGUGGAGGAACACCAGUGGCGAAGGCGGCUCUCUGGUCUGUAACUGACGCUGAGGCGCGAAAGCGUGGGGAGCAAACAGGAUUAGAUACCCUGGUAGUCCACGCCGUAAACGAUGAGUGCUAAGUGUUAGAGGGGUUUUCCCUUUAGUGCUGUAGCUAACGCGUUAAGCACUCCGCCUGGGGAGUACGGCCGCAAGGCUGAAACUCAAAGGAAUUGACGGGGGCCCGCACAAGCGGUGGAACAUGUGGUUUAAUUCGAAGCAACGCGAAGAACCUUACCAGGUCUUGACUCCCCUGACACCCUGGAGACAGGGGGUUCCCCUUCGGGGGACAGGGGACAGGGGGCAUGGUUUCCCCCCUCCGGCCCGA
rnacentral:rRNA from 1 species